CCUACGGGAGGCAGCAGUGAGGAAUAUUGGUCAAUGGGCGAGAGCCUGAACCAGCCAAGUCGCGUGAGGGAGUACUGCCCUAUGGGUUGUAAACCUCUUUUGUCGGGGAGCAAAAGCCGGACGUGUCCGGCUGUGAGAGUACCCGAAGAAAAAGCAUCGGCUAACUCCGUGCCAGCAGCCGCGGUAAUACGGAGGAUGCGAGCGUUAAUCGGAAUUACUGGGCGUAAAGCGCGCGUAGGCUGUUGUGUAAGUUGGGGGUGAAAUCCCACGGCUCAACCGUGGAACAGCCCUUGAUACUGCGCGAC
rnacentral:rRNA from 1 species